AGUUCCGGGGCGCCGUCAGACAUCGCUGCGGCCGGGAUAGGGCGCCGCCGUUCUGGCCGGCUUUCUCGGUGCCCUGGAGGACCUGGCCGGCUCCGCGGGAAGCUGUACUCAGAGCGCGCGGCCGCCCUCUGGCAGGGAGGAGUUCGUUGCACUUUUGAGGGUUCUUCACGAAGACAUCCAAUACAUAGAAAACAAGUAACAGCAACAGUAACGAAUUUUUAAAUAUUAAAAUUGCUGGGGAACACGACGGAUCCUGCAGCUGCUCGGCUGUCCCGGUCGUCAGUGACGCUAGGGCUCCGCACCGUACCCUGCAUACCGUAGGUGCUCACGAAACGUUCGUGAGUUCCCUGCUCUGAGGAAACAAGCUUAAAAACUCAGAAUCUAAGGUGUGAGUCUCCGCAAACCUGCUUGUUGGGCAGCGUCCCCCGCCCGGGCUAGCCCUGCACGCCCCACCCCGGAGCCACGCUUCUCCAGCCGGGACCCCUGCCUCCUUCCAGGCUAUUCUCGGAACCGCAGCCAGAGGGAAUUUUUUUUUCCUUUCCUGAAACGUAGAGCAGAUCUGGUUACUCUUCUGCACAACGCCCUAAAAUCUAGGGCCCUUCCCAUCCCUCAGAAUUUACAUCUAAUUCUCAGCUCCCCUCCGGCUUGCUGUAGCCAUCCUGGCUUUUGUUUAGCACAGCACUUACUGUUAGUGACAUUAUAUUGUAUAUUAUUAACAUAUUUGUGUUUUACAUCCCUCACUAGACCCCCAGGAAAGAGGCUUUGAUGUGUUGCCUGCUGCAAGGCUGGCUGCAUAAUUUGUGGAGCUCAGAGAAAAGUGCGGAGCUUCCUUGUUCAAAAAACAGAAAGAAAGUGCCUCUGAGGUCAUAAAAUAUAAAACUUUCUCUUUCCUCUCAGUUUCUCUCUUUUCAUAGUGUUUUUAUGUGUUAUUUAAUAUCAUUCCAAGAAAAAUUUAGAUUUAAAUUGUUAGCAUGAAGUUCACCAUCCAUCUUUACGUUGUGCAAUGCCAGUUUUAAAUACUAAUAUAAGUGCACUGAUCUCAUAUGUGGAAUCACAGAAAUUAUGCAAUUUGUACUUCAUAGCUUAUACAUGCAUAUAGAUUUUGUUUUUACCAGAACCACGCUGGUAAAAACAGAUGCUGCACAAAGUGAACUUGCCCGUUUUCAUCGCACUUUACGUGCACGAAUUCUACCUCUACUCUCGACCUGGGACUCACCGAUGCGUAAGGAAGGACUGAAAAGCAAAAGAACUAUGGACUGGCCUUUUGGCAUGAUCAGGUGUCUAAUAUAAAGAAGUGCAUGAAUAAGAAAAUAUAUGAUAUGAGUGAUGGUUAAUACUGACUGUCAACUUGAUUGGAUUGAAGGAUGCAAAGUAUUGAUCCUGGGUGUGUCUGUGAGGGUGUUGCCAAAGGAGAUUAACAUUUGAGUCAGUGGGCUGGGAAAGUUCGACCCACUGUUAAUCUAGAUGGACACCAUCUAAUCAGAUGCCAGUGCAGCUAGAAAUGUAAAGCAGACAGAAAAAUGCGAAAAGAGAGACUGGCCUAGCCUGCCAGCCUACAUCUUUCUCCCACGCUGGAUGCUUCCUGCCCUCGAACAUCAGACUCCAAGUUCUUCAGUUUGGGACUUGGACUGGCUCUCCUUGUUCCUCAGCUUGAAGACUGCCCAUUGUGGGACUUGUGAUCAUGUGCCAUGAUAAAUAAGCCAGUUUGAGUCACUUGGUCUAAUAUCGAGACCACGAACAUAUUGAUCACAGAAUGUGUUAGGAUAACAGAAGUUCAAGAGGAAAGGACAGUGAGAGACCAUGACUAAAGAAUUACUCCGUGAACAACUCAGGAGGACCAGCUAUGAUUUCACUCUCAUUCAAAAAAGAGAAAUAAUAUUUCUUUCAGCUGCUACCCAUAAAAUAUUUUUGAAUGUGUGUACAAUGUUCAUGCUGUAAUGGCUGCUCUAUCAUGAAGGAUGUGUUGACACCUCGUGGGUGGCUUUUCACAAUCCCCUUGGACACAGAUUGGGGGAUUGACGGCCCCAUCCCCUCAUUUUCCACACCGAGGGGCAGUUGGGAUAUGCAUAAAAUCUUGUUCUCUAGUUAGGACCUGUUGCUAUAAAUCUAGCAUCAAGAGUAUCACUAUUUUCUAAACACUUUGCCAGACAGCCUUCGGAGUAUAAUUUUCUGAAGUUUAUAAAGCAUAACUCAUACACACACCUAGUGACCAUGUUCUGAAGGUAUAUUUAACUCCUGCAUGAGGGAACAGGCAGGAUGAAAGUGGGUUCUAAGGAAGAGACUAGCAUAUAUGAUCAACGGGGAAAAAUGAAGAGUAAGCUUGAAACCGCCUUUGCAAAAAUUAUAACCGAGGAGAUUAUGACAGUGAAGGAGAUCAGACCUAACCGACCCCAUCUUGCUUCUAACCUUUAAGCUGUCCUUGUUCAUUCCUGGGUGUAGGCCGAACUAACUUUGGGAAGGAAUUUGUUCGUGGUUUGACUCUGAAACAAAAAAAUUGAUAAUAGCCCUUUCCCGAAAAGACCGCCUUCUUGCCUGGGGACCAGUCUGCCUUUGCAGGACCAACAAAUUAACUACGAGAUUAGAAAUUACAGUUUAGGGGUCCUGCAGCCUCUGACUCCAAGAGUCUGACCCUCCCCACAUUGCUUCUGGGGAUAACAUCACUAUUAUAAAACCUAAGAUCAGUGCUUGAGAUAUUUUGCAGACCCUGCACUGGAUGGAUCAGCUGACACCACCCAGACCCGUAAUCUGGAUCAACCAGUUCUGCCAUCCCACCCAGGAACAGAAGAUGCAAGAAAAACUCACUUUGACCCUCUAUGAUUCCAUCUCCAACCUGACCAAUCAGUACUCCCCACUUCCCAAGCCCCUGCCUGCCAAAUUAUCUUUAAAAACUCUGAUCCCCGAAUGCUUGGAGAGGCUGAUUUGAGUAACAACACAACUCUGGUCUCCUGCACAGCCAGUUCUGUGUGAACUACCCUUCGCCCAUUGCAAUUCCCCUGUCUUGAUAAAUUGGCUCUGUCGAGGCAGUGGGCAAGGUGAACCCACUGGGCAGUUACAAGACUGCAAAGUUAGAAACAAAACUGGCAAUGCCCCAUGGGUCAAAAAUAAUCAAUUAAUUCAUAACAUUUGACUUGAUUAAGUUUUCUACUGGACAGAAACAAUUUGCAACUUAUCCUUCCUCUACAUUGUUUGACUGCCAUGUCAAUUGUAAGUAUUAGAUCAAAUUUUAAAAUAAUUAUUUUAGAGCUUCAGAUGCACCUUACAUGGGCUUGUUAGAUUGUUAGACACUGCUUAGUGACAUUGAAAGAGGGCACAAUACUUUUUUUGCCUUAUUUCUAAGUUGUGGGUAUCCUUUUCUUAACACUUCUUUUCUGUGAUUCUAUGCAAGACAAUCGUUGAUGAAAUGGGAUUUUCUGGAUGGAAAGUCCGUGUACUUUACUGAAACCUCUUUCUACAGUUCUGUCUUUCAAGUGGGAUUCUGUGAGCUGACUCAUGACAGCUGAGCAUCAUCGGAGAUUGGCUUCAAUGGUCCUCAAUGUGCAGAACAUAAAUAGCAAUUUCUACCAUCAUUCAAUAGCAUUUGUGGGUCCUUUUAUAUGGAGUAUAUAAAAGUAUUUGCAGGUCUUGGUUUAUCUGUCCCCACGUGACAUACCUAUAGAACAGGUAUUUUCAUCCCAGCUACUUAUUAUAAAUAUUUAAUAAGUAGGCUAAUGGUUUGGAAUUCUAUUUCUCUAUUUGCAUGAGUCAAAUAAUAGACCAAAUUCUUUCAAAAAGAGGAGAUGUUAACAUACCAAAAGAAACUGAAACAAGAGCAUUGAACCCACGGUGCCCUUCAGAAACACCUGCCAACAAUGGGGCAGAGUGUCCAGCUGCCUGGACAGUGUGUGCAGGGGCGGGGCCCUUCCUGUUCACAAUGGCUUUGCCUGGCAGUUAAAAUGCAAAUGGAGGGCAGACUGAGAGUGCAUCACCCUCUCACAUCUCAGAGUCUAAAAGGCGGCCUUUCAGUGCCUUCUGUUCAAAUUGCAAAUGCUCUUCCUUUAUCCCCCAAGGCCUGGGAGACAGUUCUGAAUAAUUCUUCCCCAACAAAUUGGCUUUCCUCUUCCCAGCAACAAAAGCCCUUAUUGGUUUUAAAAGUGCAAAGAACAAAUUUUAUUCAAGGGUCUUAAGGCAGAUGAAGGUUCACAGAAACUACAAGGGCAGUUCCAGGGCCUCCACGUACGACCGUGUCCCUAUAACGACUGGUCCUUAUAAGAGGCCAGCAACAGUAUCUUAUUUUCCUGUACAGGCCUGGGAUUCCCAGUAAUUUCUUUGCAUUGGCUUUGUAAGCACAAUUACCCAGAGUUUCCGAGAAUUGGGACAUUUCCAAGAAAUUGCCCAAUGGGUCAGUGGAGUGCUGUCAAAUGAGAUGGACCAUCUUAAAAUCAAAACGUGGGUGGUUUCUGCUCAUUGCUGAGCAUUUCACUUCCAUUCUGAAAAGUCUAAGAACGUCACUCCAGGAGAUACAAUGUCAAGGGCUCCCGCCACUCUUCAUCAUUGCCCAAGUCAUAAGAAUCAUCCCCCAAAUUCCUUCUAUUUCUCCAAGGUAGGGUAACCCAGGGCUGGGUAAGCCUGUUAGGGCAGGUCAGGUUGGCACAUACCGAGGAGGAACUCAGACAGACAGACAGCGCCAGGGGACCAGCGGCACUGUGUGCUCAUCACCACCCUCAGGGAUUCAAGGGCCUUGUCCUGGUACCUGGGUCACCUUCUGAAAUAAGUGCUACUGAGGUUCAUGGCCAAGACCCUUCCAGGAAAUUCAGAAGGAGGUUGGCUUCAGUGGGAAAGUAGUCUGUGACCCAGAAGGUGUUUAUUCAACAAGGUGCAAGCUGACAACAUGUUUCUUUGCUCUGGACACUGGAAUUAAA
ensembl:lncRNA COPS8-DT COPS8 divergent transcript